AACGAACGCUGGCGGCAUGCCUAACACAUGCAAGUCGAACGAGACCUUCGGGUCUAGUGGCGCACGGGUGCGUAACGCGUGGGAACCUGCCCUUAGGUUCGGAAUAACUCCCCGAAAGGGGUGCUAAUACCGGAUAAUGUCUUCGGACCAAAGAUUUAUCGCCUUUGGAUGGGCCCGCGUUGGAUUAGCUAGUUGGUAGUGUAAAAGCCUACCAAGGCGACGAUCCAUAGCUGGUCUGAGAGGAUGAUCAGCCACACUGGGACUGAGACACGGCCCAGACUCCUACGGGAGGCAGCAGUGGGGAAUAUUAGACACUGGGCGAAAGCCUGAUCCAGCAAUGCCGCGUGAGUGAUGAAGGCCUUAGGGUUGUAAAGCUCUUUUACCCGGGAUGAUAAUGACAGUACCGGGAGAAUAAGCUCCGGCUAACUACGUG
rnacentral:rRNA from 1 species